rnacentral:rRNA from 1 species
GAUGAACGCUAGCGGCAGGCUUAACACAUGCAAGUCGAGGGGUAUUGGUUUUCGGACCAAGAGACCGGCGCACGGGUGCGUAACGCGUAUGCAAUCUACCUUUUGCAGAGGGAUAGCCCAGAGAAAUUUGGAUUAAUACCUCAUAGUAUAGUACCUUGGCAUCAAGGAACUAUUAAAGUCACAACGGUAAAAGAUGAGCAUGCGUCCCAUUAGCUAGAUGGUAAGGUAACGGCUUACCAUGGCGACGAUGGGUAGGGGUCCUGAGAGGGAGAUCCCCCACACUGGUACUGAGACACGGACCAGACUCCUACGGGAGGCAGCAGUGAGGAAUAUUGGACAAUGGGCGCAAGCCUGAUCCAGCCAUGCCGCGUGCAGGAUGACGGUCCUAUGGAUCGUAAACUGCUUUUGUACNGGAAGAAACACUCCCUCGUGAGGGAGCUUGACGGUACUGUAAGAAUAAGGAUCGGGCUAACUCCGUGCCAGCA